rnacentral:rRNA from 1 species
CCAAUCGAACUCGGAGAUAGCUGGUUCUCCUCGAAAUAGCUUUAGGGCUAGCGUCGUGUUAGUAGCACAUGGGGGUAGAGCUCUGUAAAGGACUGGGGCGGGCAACUGUACCCACCCUUAACAAACUACGAAUACCAUGUGUGUAAUCACGGCAGUUAGAACAUCGGUGCUAAGAUCGGUGCUCAAAAGGGAAACAGCCCAGACCAUCAUCUAAGGUCCCUAAAUUAACGUUCAGUGGGAAACAAGGUGAGAUUUCUUAAACAGCUAGGAUGUUGGCUUAGAAGCAGCCAUUCAUUUAAAGAGUGCGUAACAGCUCACUAGUCAAGAGAUCUUGCGUGGAAAAUGUAACGGGGCUAAAACGUUAUACCGAAGAUAUGGAUUACACGCUAAGUACAAAGUUAAAGUUGUGUUACAAUCAAUUUAUGGAAAAUGAGAUUUACAUAGGUAGCGUUUAUAAACACUAUAAAGGCAAUAAAUAUGUUGUUGUAAGUAUAGCUGUUCAUACCGAGACGCUUGAAGAGCUUGUAGUUUAUCGAGCCAUUUAUGGCGACGGAGAAUUAUGGGCUAGACCUAAGAAAAUGUUUUUAGAUAAUAUUGAAAAGAACGGAAAGAUCAUUCCAAGGUUUAAAUUGAUUAAAAAACUUUGAUUUUGUUCUUAGUGUGUAGUGGUAGAGGAGCGUUCCUAUCAGCGGUGAAGUCGAAUCGGAAGGUUCGGUGGAGCGGUAGGAAGUGAGAAUGCUGGAAUGAGUAACCAUAAGAGAGGUGAGAAUCCUCUCGGCCGUAAGAGCAAGGUUUCCUGAGCCAUGGUAAUCAUCUCAGGGUUAGUCGGGCCUAAGCCGAGGCGCAGAGCGUAGGCGAUGGACAUCAGGUUAAUAUUCCUGAACCGGUUAAGUUUUGUACACUGUUCACGGGGAAGUAAUCGAAGCGGAUUCAUGGUUUAUCCGUCCAACCGAGCGGGAACGCAAAGGGAGUGAAAGUGAUUCUUCGGAGUCGCGAUUUUGGUGAAAGCCCUGGCUAGAAAAGCAGGUGUACGCGUGGACUUAGCCGCCCGUACCGCAAACCAACACAGGUGCUCGAGUCGAGUAGACUCAGGCUUACGAGCGAACCUUCGCUAAGGAACUCGGCAAUACAGCGACCGUAACUUCGGGAUAAGGUCUGCCCCCACUUCGGUGGAUAUCAGCCGCGUUCACUCAGUGAAUAUUAGGUUAAAGAGUACAUUUUUAAUCACAAAACGAAUUUUCUGAGAUAGAGCAAACGAAUUGUUCUUUUGAACGCGAACCUCUGACGUCUAACGAUGUGGGGGCCGCAGCAAAAGAGCCCACGGAACUGUUUAUCAAAAACACAGGUCUCUGCUAACACGAAAGUGGAUGUAUAGGGGCUGACUCCUGCCCAAUGCUGGAAGGUUAAGGGGAGCGCUUCACGGUGCGAACUGAAGCCCUAGUCAAUGGCGGCGGUAACUAUAACCGUCCUAAGGUAGCGAAAUUCCUUGUCAGGUAAGUUCUGACCCGCACGAAUGGAGUAAUCAUGUGGGCACUGUCUCAGCGAAGGACUCGGUGAAAGUGCAUUGGCGGUAAAGAUGCCGUCUGUCCGUACCAGGACGAAAAGACCCCAUGGAGCUUUACUACAGCUUUACAUUGAAUAUGGUUUCAACAUGUGUAGCAUAGGUGGGAGACUUUGAAGCAGAUACGCCAGUAUUUGUGGAGUCACCAAGUGAAAUACCACCCUUGUUGUGAUUGUGUUCUCACGCUGACCGUUAUCCGGUUAGCGGACCGUGUAUGGUGGGUAGUUUAACUGGGGCGGUUGCCUCCUAAAGAGUAGCGGAGGCGUUCAAAGGU